UACCGGACCGUCGUUAGUGGUAGCGGCGGCCGCCGCUUGAGUGGCGGUGGUGGGCGAGGGUGGUGGCAUUAGAGAGAGCUGCUUCUAGAGGAGGCGCUCUAGAAGGAGGCGGAGGGGAGGGAGGGUUCGGAGCAGGCACGGCGGGAGUCGACGGCGUGGAAGGAGUCGCGGCAGGCGAGCAGGGGGCGGAAGGCGGCGUCGAAGGCCCUCCGGGUGGACGGGGGAGAGGACCCGGAGAAGAAGCUGGGGCUUCAGGGGAGGUAGGGGCGGAAGCGGGGGGAGGCGGCGGCGAGGCUGGGACUGGAGCGCCGGCGGCAGGCGCCGCGGCUAAAGAAGGAGUGGGCGGAGGGGCGGCUGCUGCUGUGGAAGGGCCCCACCCGGUAUCUUCCGACGACGCUGCCGUUGCAGGAGGAGGUCUUGAAGUCGGACCUCGUUGAGCGGCAGAUGUUGGGGGAGUGCGCCCGGGACCUAGAGUAGGGGCACGGCGGGCUGUUCUAGAAGCUCCCGCGGGCGCCGCUGCGGUUCAUGGAACCUACGAUGUAGGAGAGGAGGCUUCUCCCGCCGCUCGGCGACGCGGACCAGAUGUGGACGGUACUGUUCAGCGCCCGCGCACGGCGGUAGAAGAGCAGCCUCUCGUCCCUCACCGUCUAGAAGGGCACCAGCCUCCGACACUGCGGUAACGGACUUCUGCUCGUGACCGAAUUUCAACCGUGUUACCACUUACCCAAGCAGAUGACCUAUGUGUGUUUACUUCGGAUGUAGGAGCACGACUUGUGGCGCUGUGAUGUAAAGAGGGUCUACCUAAACGGCGGCUGGAACCACCGCGCGCUAGAGUAUAAGUCCCAACCGCUCUGGUUCCUACCAUUCGGAACGUAACAGACGGGUUAACUAAAACUCGAAAAACAAACCCAGGCCCCUCGGCUCCUACUACCGUAGCUCUCUACCUAUAAGCUGGUCUCCAAAGGUAACCUCUGCUAACAGCUCCAGUGGCUCUCAUGUGAACACCUUGUACCACUGGACUUCCAACACCGGUGAUAACCACCUAAACACAUGAAGAGAUGGUACCUUUGCAAGGAACUACCAGUAUUAGGAUCAACCAAGUACAGAGAUACGUACCUCUGUCCCCUCGACCGGUGCGAGAAGGUCUCCUCUAAACUGCCGGUAGGGGUAGGGAUGUAGUACCGUACCGGAGGAACAAACUAUCUGUUGGUCCACGUGGGAGUUGAGCUUCCACGAACUACCUUACACCUGUUCUGUCAAUUCUCUUGGGUCCUCUCGACUUCAACCCCCAUCUUGACGAACCCCUUCGCCCUUUACUUGAGUAGUCCCGUUGAUUUCUACCACCUAGUGAGCAGUUAAGGUCCCCGUCACACUCCAAGUGGCCUCCAGCAGAACGUUGGUCUUAUGAACACAAACAACCGAUCAUCACAACUAAUCCAUCCGAAGCUAUUAUAGGUCUUAAAAGACAAGAUAUACUAGCACACAAGACACAACACGACGAAAACGGAACAAAAUAAAUAAUGAGGGAGACAGAGUUUUACAUUCUGUAAAAAAUCACAGUUUUUUGCAGAACGUAAAACUCUGUCUCCCUCAUAUAUAGUGUGACUUCAAAUG
rnacentral:rRNA from 1 species